rnacentral:tRNA from 1 species
GGUUGUGGCUUAGCGGUACAGUGCUCGCCUAGCAUGUGCAAGGCCCUCAGUUCAAUCCUCAGCACCA